rnacentral:rRNA from 1 species
GACGAACGCUGGCGGCGUGCUUAACACAUGCAAGUCGAACGGAAAGGCCUCUUUCGGGGGGUACUCGAGUGGCGAACGGGUGAGUAACACGUGAGUAACCUGCCCUUGACUUUGGGAUAACUUCAGGAAACUGGGGCUAAUACCGGAUAGGAGCUCCUUCUGCAUGGUGGGGGUUGGAAAGUUUCGGCGGUUGGGGAUGGACUCGCGGCUUAUCAGCUUGUUGGUGGGGUAGUGGCUUACCAAGGCUUUGACGGGUAGCCGGCCUGAGAGGGUGACCGGCCACAUUGGGACUGAGAUACGGCCCAGACUCCUACGGGAGGCAGCAGGGGGGAAUAUUGCACAAGGGGUGGAAGCCUGAUGCAGCAACGCCGUGGGCGGGAUGACGGCCUUCGGGUUGGAAACCGCUUUCGCUCAUGACGAAGCUUUGUGUGACGGUAGUGGGUAAAGAAGCACCGGCUAACUACGUG